UAUAAACGAGUGCGAUGAAAAAAUCCUCAACUGUUCCCACGAGUGCGUGAACACAAAUGGAAGUGCGUACUGUGGUUGUCCCUUCGGCCUAAAGUUGUCAGAUGAUGGCUUCACAUGCCGAGACGUCGACGAAUGCACCGAGACGCCGCAUGUAUGCAACCAGAUCUGCUCGAAUACGAUCGGAAGCUACGAUUGUUUUUGCAAAGCCGGGUACACUCUCUCCCUCCAUGACAACUUCACGUGCGAAGAUGUGAAUGAGUGCACUCAAGGUACCCACAAUUGCAGUCAUAUCUGCACCAACUACGAUGGUGGUUAUUACUGCGAAUGUCCACUGGGAUACGAAAUGACCGGGGACCAGAGAUCAU